ensembl:lncRNA
GGAGCUGCUCUCAGAGUCGGAGAAAGUCAGCCUACUGCGCAUCUCACUGCAUGACAUGAAGCCAUUUGCCUUACUGAUGGACUCUCUGGCAGCCAAAGACUUAGCAUGUCUGCUGGGGGGCUACUGCAGACUCCUGGUGGACCCCAAUGUCAAUGUCUUCCGUCUGGGGCGCCCGAAAGUGAGGGUGCACCGGAUACCUGCUGAAGAAGGUGUGUGUGGGAAGUUCGCCGUUGUAGAGGGCGUGUGCUAUGAAUCCCUGACAAGUUAUGUAUCCCGCUGCUGUAGUGACUCAGAUGAAUCAUCAGAUGACGACGACCCAAUGGACUCAAAUCGCCAUGACCCCGCAAGUCAGGACUGGGAGGAGCGGAGGAGAGAGGCGGAGGAGCAGAGGAGGGAGGAGGACCGGCAGGAGAGAGAGGAGCAUCAGGGCAAACAGGAAGUCAAGAUUAUUGUUACCACGGAAACGAAAGAAAACGAAGGUGAAGAAGGUGCUUCAGGAAGUGGGUUGAGGAAGUUCGCAGUGAUGGAUGAGGACAUUAACAGAGAGAAUAACUGGUACCACACAGACCCACGAGUCACCUGUAGCUUCUCCAGUCUGUCCAGUGGCUCUCUGAGUGCUGCUCUGGAUGACAGCAGCAGCAGCACCUCGGCCAAAACUUCAUCCCGUUCAGAGGUGCAAGCCGCUAUAGACGUGCACCACCCCUACCUCCUCGAUACGAAAGCCCACCAAGCCCCGCUGCGACCCACCAACCUCAACUACUGCGGAACUGACA